GACGAACGCUGGCGGCGUGCCUAAUACAUGCAAGUCGACCUUAGUGGCGAAAGGGUGAGUAACACGUGGGUCACCUGCCCAUCAGAAGGGGAUAACACUUGGAAACAGGUGCUAAUACCGUAUAGUGAUGGAUGGGCCCGCGGUGCAUUAGCUAGUUGGUGAGGUAACGGCGCGACAAGGCCACGAUGCAUAUGCGGCCUGACGGGGUGAUAGGCCAAAUGGCGACGUAGAAACGGCGCAGACUCCCACGGGAGGCAGCAGUGGGGAAUAUGGGACAAUGGGCGAAAGCCUGAUCCAGCCAUGCCGCGUGUGUGAAGAAGGUCUGCGGACUGUAAAGCACUUGAAGUUGGGAGGCGUUACCAACAGAAUAAGCACCGGCUAACUUCGUGCCAGCAGCCGCGGUAAUUC
rnacentral:rRNA from 1 species